UAGCUGUCAUUCUGAAAUGUUUUUCAUGCAAUUUGUGUUAUUCUAUUGGGAGAUUUUAGCAUUGAAACUUUGAGGAUUUUCUACAGGGGAGCGGUUUACAGAGAUAGUGAGCAGUCCAUAUUUUAGCAUCUCAAUUCACCUUGUACUGUUUUUUUUUUUUUCCCCUUCAGUUCUAAAUCUCUUUUCUUCAUGAUCUCUAGUAGUAAAUAACUAUUGCAUUCUUUCUUUCAGGUUAACAAACCAAAUCUUCCACUUGCAUCGCAAUUUUCAGGCUUUUUGGAAACAACAGCUUGUCUGAUACAUGACUACCAUCCCAAAAAAGCUAUAAACUUCUUAAUGUGCUUUAGGAAGGGAUGAAUGAGAGUUUUGAUGGCCCACUCUGCAAGAAUUCACAACAGCAUGGCUUCUCAACUGCCAAUUUCAUUUCCUCAGGCGCAUGCUUCAUGAGGAUAUAUAGCUGUUGCCAUCGAUUCCCGCUACCAUGGUGAACAGGCCAGAAAUACAACCACAUACAGAGAUGGUAUGUAAUCAUUUGCAAGUAUCAUGUGUUAGUUGAAUAAGGAGAUUUUCUUUUCAUGCAGUCACAAUCUUUAAAAAAAAAAAUCAGUACUAUGCGGUGUUACUUAUUUUCGUGCUUCCAUUUAAAGCAGCUGGAAAUAAAAAUACAGUUAUUUAGCAAGUAUCAUGUCUUAAUAAAAUAGUCAGUUUCAGUUGUUGAUUGUUUCUGGAAUUUGAAUGCAGGCUCUUGUAUCUUCUUGGAAGAAUGGCGAUACAAUGCCUUACAUAUUUGAUACAGUAAUACUAUGGCCUUUUGUUUUCUAGCGGAUCAUAUGUGCUUCCUUUUAUUUAUUUAUUAUUUUUAUAAAUCAAGUUACAUUCAAUUUUAGCCUUGAACAAUUCUUCCAUGGGAUUUUCAAUGAAUAGGAUUAUAAAAUAUAGAGGCAGAUUGAGCUUGCAAAAAUGUUGUUGGCGGAGGGACAAA